CAGGUGGAGCCUGCGGUUUAAUCGGACUCAACGCCGGGAAACUCACCAGAUAAGACAGCUGAAUGAUAGUCGGGCUGAAGACUCUACUUGACUAGCUGAGAGGAGGUGCAUGGCCGUCGUCAGUUCGUACUGUGAAGCAUCCUGUUAAGUCAGGCAACGAGCGAGACCCACGCCAACAGUUGCCAGCUCGUCCUCCGGGAUGGUGGGGACACUGUUGGGACCGCCUCUGCUAAAGAGGAGGAAGGAAUGGGCAACGGUAGGUCAGCAUGCCCCGAAUUAUCCGGGCUACACGCGGGCUACAAUGGUCAGGACAAUGGGUAUCGACACCGAGAGGUGGAGGCAAUCUCCUAAACCUGUCCUUAGUUCGGAUUGUGGGCUGCAACUCGCCCACAUGAAGCUGGAAUCCGUAGUAAUCGCGUUUCAAAAUAGCGCGGUGAAUAUGUCCCUGCUCCUU
rnacentral:rRNA from 1 species